UACGGGGGGGGCAAGCGUUGUUCGGAAUUACUGGGCGUAAAGGGCUCGUAGGUGGCCAACUAAGUCAGACGUGAAAGCCCUCGGCUUAACCGGGGAAGUGCAUCCGAAACUGGCGAGCUUGAGUACUAAAGAGGGUCGCGGAAUUCCCGGUGUAGAGGUGAAAUUCGUAGAUAUCGGGAGGAACACCAGCGGCGAAGGCGGCGACCUGGGUAGAUACUGACGCUGAGGUGCGAAAGCGUGGGGAGCAAACAGG
rnacentral:rRNA from 1 species